GGGAUCUCCAAUGAGAGGGCUGGGAAGUGUGGAUCCUGGCUCAACCCUUCUGGUCACUCAGUGCAUUGCAUUGCAUGCACCUGAGCUCGUUGGGCUGGCCCUGCCUUCCCACCAGGUGUUCCAUCACUGGCUUGGGCCGUGACUUAGCAUUUCUGCUACAGACAUGAAAUGUAAAAGUUUGGCAGAAAAGAAAGUAAAAUAAAGCCUUACUAGAAGAUAGAAGAGCACUGUUGUGGAGAGCUGAACAAGGUGUGAUGUGGAAGAAGUUUGUUGAUGUGAUCUGCCCUUUUACUGAUAUAUAUACUCAGGCAAAUAUCUUGAGUAGCAUGGAUAACUGUAAUGAUAAUUAUUUAAAAACCUAGCACAAAAAUAUUACAAAACACUAGUCUUUUAUUUUUGUAAAGAAAACAACAAGUCGGCGAGAGUACAAACCUGAUAUUAUAGGGUAUUAAAAAACAGCCAUUAAGACAUUUUGCCCUGGAAAUUGGUAUUUUCGGAGAUGGAAAUUAUAGUCCUGUGCUUCCUGCCAACAGUCUGUAGGCAACAAGGUUUUUCUUUUCAACUGUUAAUUUAUUUUUCUCUAAAGAAUGUGUGUACAUGAGUUAACCAAGCUUGCCCCAUACCUGCUUUUUUGAGCAGAACUAUCUUUCUAGUAGUGCUCUAUAGGAGCAAAGCUCCCUCCCACUUCACAGAAGAUGGCACCAUUCAGAAAGAGUUGUUUCAGAACAUACCUGGUUUAAUGAUAGGAUCAGUGAACACAGCAGUGUUUUCUUGGCAACAGGUUGAAAAGCUUGCAGCUAAACAGUUUCUUUGGAACAGUUUAUUGGCAUUCCAUCUCUGCAUUAGAAACUUGGAUUUCACUUCUUAUUUUGUUUUUCUGUUCCCCUGGUUCAUUUCCUCUAUCGUUUUUUUCCUAAUGAUACAUAAAAAUAACAUGCUGCGUUCUUUGUCCUGAGCAGAGAAUUAACUGUGUUGCUCUUUGAAUUUGUAAGGAGGCAGAUUUGGUAAGAAUUCUAGUUAUAGGUAUACAUUAUCCAAUAAUGAAAAAGGUAGCUAAAUGAAAAUCAUCAACAGCAUAGGUGGAAAGGAAACAAUUUAAAGAGUUUCAGCAGUGCACCAUGCCUUGGUGAGAAGUGGAAGCAGACCUUUAGAGAUGCAUCCUGGACACUCCUUUUGCCCCCCUUGGUGAAAGAAGGAUGGGAUGCUGCCAGGACAGCCACAGUUUCUGCAACACAAAGCUGAAAUUACAAGAUUGUUGUCGUAAGAAAGCAGAAACAGUGUAUGGCACUCCGUGCCCUGCAGUGCUGCCGUUCUUCCGUUGUUUUUACAAACAUUGCUACCUUUCUAGGCAGCCAGGGCUGCUAAUUUCUUCUCAUUACAACUAUAUGAAAAAGAAGUGAGAGAUACCUCUAGUACACCAAUAUUAAUAUGGUGAAUAAUUAAGCCAUCAAGAAAACUGUAUAUGUUUUCAAAGAAGCCAAGCACCUGCACACGGACGAUUUCUGUCUUAUAGCUGUGUUUGAGAAUAGUGAGAAUGGGGAAAAAAGCCUUUGCUGUAUCUCCUUCAAGACAGACAGGAGUGUGUUUAUUUUCACCAAAUAUCCAUACACAUAUGACACUCUCUCAGAAAUGGACAGUUGCUGGAAGAGUAACACCUUUUUAUUCCUUAUGAUAUAUGUCCCGCACGUGCAUCUCCUGUAUGUGUGCAAAUACAGGAGGAAGGAAGUCCUGGAAGACUUGGGAGCUCUCAGUGGGAAACCAAGGCAAAGGGCACAGUUCUCAUACAAAUGGGCAAAGGUAUCUACAUUCCACAGUGCCAAGCAACCAUCAAAUCCUGAAGAGAUUCCUAAUCCUUAUUCUUGUCCUUCUUCAGGCAUCUGGGCCUCAUUGAAGUCUUGCAAAUAAUUAAGAAUAUUAGACCUCUGGUUACUGAUCAUCUUGCAGAAGUAUGUAUUUCAUCUAUCUGUCCUGGAUUUCUUUUUGCUUCUACCCCAUAUUGUGAGACAGGAUAUUACAAUAAGUUCUUCAUAUUUCUUUGUCAGUGUAACAACAUUCUCCAGGCAAAAUGUGUCACACUUUUCUCCAUCGGAUUGUUAUUUCUCUAGAGCCAUAAAAGUUGGCAUACCAUAAGUGCCAGUGGUGCUUAAAAGCCUGUCUUGAUGGGGAAAUGGAUUGCAAAAAUAGUAUUUCCUUACUUUUGUAAUGAAAAAAAAAGGAACAGUUUUGUAAAAUAGCUGUUCAGUGAAAUACACAAAAAUGCCAUUAGUAUGAAGGAUAAAAGUUCUCCUGCAAUGCAGGAAGAGACCCUUUUUCGUUGUGCUUUUAUUAUUUGUAAUUAAUGUGCUCACCUCAGAUUUCUGCCAACAGCCCAGCGCAAAAUGAAUCUCUGUGCAUUCUCUCUUUGUUUCUCCUUGUUCUAUCAUGCUGUGUACCAUUAUGAGAAUGUAAGGGAAUAUAUGUAUGUAUAUAUAUGGCAGGAUCUCUAAUCACAUAUUUUUUGCUAAUUUUAGUUCAAAUACAGAGUUAGUGACAAUGUCAAUACAAACACAGUCUGUUUCAAGGUGUGUAUACCCGUGUAACAAAAACAGUCAGGAAAGGACUUAGGGAGCACGGGACAGAGGUGUGCAGCAGAACGCACCUCUUCUGUGCCAUAUCCAAAUACGGUACCUAAUUUUCAAUAGAAAAGGCAAAAACAUGGAAACAUGGCCCCAGUGUCCGCAAAGUGGACACUGCACAAACAGCAGAAAAUGCUUAUUUUUCAUCUAAUGAAGUGACUAGUCAAAUUCUGCUUACUGUAUCCUGUGCGUAGCAUAGUUGCUUAUGCGUAUCAGUAUAGAAUUUAUAUUCCUCUAUCUGCACCAGCCGAAAACACAUACCACAGCCAUAGUGGUGUAGUGUGUACAAAGGAGGCCGAUUCAUUGAGGACAACAGAUAAAGUGUCCAUAGCAGUGAAAGCUCUGGUUACUGAGGCCAAAAAAUGUCUUUUUUCAGCAGAUCAAUUUGGGCACUGACGAAUUAUUUUUCAUUUUUCAGCUGCACAAAACUUUUCCUCGCAUUUCCGUCUUAUUCGAGUGAACUAAUAAGCCCCUGGUACAACUCUUGAUACUGCAUAUCAACUUGUCACGUGUGGCAGCAUUUGCCACAAGAAAAUGUUUAUCUUUUUGCCCCACUCAAAGCAAUCAGCAGAACAGAAAGCUCCUGCAGAAAGACCCUGGCAGUGGCCUGCAGCCUAACAGGACUCCAGUUUGUGCUGUUCUGUUUUUCAUUCCUAUGUCUUUUUUUAUAUGAGUAAGCACAACAUUUUCUAAACUCCAAUGCUAAAGAUUGCUAAUGAAUAGCUACAGCUUGAAGAAAAAAAAAAUCCAAAAGACAUGCAAAUUAUCCUUUGUUCUUUCCAGUUUUUCUAACACCUGAAUGCCAAACACAUACGUCAGCAUUCUGCAGAAUGACAAAACAAAGUCCCAAUCCCCUACUGCAUUUAGAUGUGCUGGUGUGAAAAACAGAAGUGUUGUUCAGUGUUUCAUAGGUGAAACAGGAAAGUACUCUUUCCUCUUUGCUGUGAUAUUGAUAAAAAGAAGUGAGAAUAUGUCCUUGGGAUACACGUAAAUGAUAAUGCUAUCCACUAUUACGCUGCACUUGAAAAGUUAACUUUUAAGAUAAGAUAAACUUGCUGUUACAGGUAUUGUUACAUAUGGUGCAGAAUUAACACUGACCAGGGACGUUUUCUUAGGGAUAUAGGCAAGCAGAAACACAGUGCAGCAGCUCUCCAUUUCUUGCCUGCUUGCAGGUCACUUCUGAUAAAAAAUCAACAUAACCAGACCCACCAAACAACGGUAACACUGGACUGGUGCCCUCCAGCCCCCACCACGUUCACAGAGCACUUGCUGCAGUGCCAAAGCAUUGCACAGCCCCAGCAAGGGCAGGCAUUCAUUCCCCCCUGCACUGUAUGAGCAUCUGUGUUUCAGGACACUGUACUGAGUGUCCUGCUUUUGGAGAAAAUCAAGAGACUUGAAUUCACUAAUUGGUGUAGCUUUUUCACGCAUGCAUGCCAUAGUGGGAUGUUAGCACAAGGUACGUUAUCAGUAAAUUGCAGCUGUGGCUGUCUUCUUUCUGGCAGGAGUGCCUUGAAACAGCAACCUUAUGUUUUUUUUUUUUUUUUUUUUUUUUAAUUCUUGGAAGUUUCUGUUUAUUAACAGGAUAAUCAGCAAAGGAGGAGAUAGGGAUAAAGCUGGUAUGGGAAGAUAUUGUGGUUAAAGCCAGAGCGGACUUGCCCUGAGCCGCUGCCCCAAAUGACAGGAAUCAGCGUUCUGCAGGGAGCUGCUGGCUGCAACUCCUCACUGUGCCUAGCAAAGUGCAUGCAGUAGCUCACCUUGCCUCAUCCCACCGAAGGCCCUUGGCACCUCCCUGGGAUGUGGAAGUGCCUACAUGACAUACCUUAGCUCUCCUGAGCAGCUCUUCUGCGAUGCAGGUGCAGCAGUGCACUGCACUGUAUCUUGAUUCCCCUCCUUAAAUUUAUUCUCAGGACUGCUAGCUCUGAAGAAAUAUUUUUCUUGACAGCGAUGUAAUGUGAUAAACACAUUUUACAUAUGCACAUUUCAGGGAAAAUCCUAAUUUUGCUACAGUCUAAAGACUCUGACUCUAAGUAUGUGUGUAUGUAAGAAUCAGCUGUUGAAAUCUACAGGCUGCAUCUCCAAACAGUUGUAUGAAAAAUGGCUUCUGUUAAAAAACACAUUUUUUCUGAUAUUCUUAAAAGUUUAUGUGUCACAUGAGAAAAUAACAUAGAACAAAUGUAAAAUCAGAUCAGCUUUAAUGCUCAAAACUAUUGCACUGCUCUUUAUAUAGUAUUGUCACAAGCACAGUUCCCCAGAAGACUCUUAAAAAAUAAUUAGAAUCCCAGUCUUUUCCCAUUAAGUCUGUUUUAUAUAAAGGUGAUAAAAAUUGUAGCUCUGGGAGUAAUCCCUCUGCAGAUCUUUAAUACUGCAGAACAUGACAGAAUCUGUGCAGUCUCACACGUUUUUAACACAUCAGCCACAGAGUCUUUUGGAGCAUUACUUGGAAAUUAAAAGUUUACUGAACAAACCCCUUUAUUCAUAAUAUUAAUAAUUUAGUUAUCUAAUACUUUAUAAGUGCUUUUGGUCAUUUUCAGAGCUGCAUAAGCCUCAAGCCAGCACCUUUCACUCACGUUAGAAGGUGCCAGGAAUCACUUUGUAAUCAACAAGCCAAAUAGAAACACAGAGGUAGUGAUAGGAACAUUUAGAAUUAAUGCAAUGUCUAGCUUUUCUACUGCUUUCUGCCUGGACACGCUACUGAAAUGCUUUUCCACGUUGGAAUGGAUAUGUAAGCAUGUUUUGACCUGUGAGCACAAUACUGUGCAACACAGCUCAUUCAGUCCUUCAAGACAGUGGUUUUCUUAUUGCAGCAUCUACCUGGGCAUCAAGGGUUUGGGGUUCUGGUCAUAACAGCUAGCUCCCCUUGUGACCUACAGGAUAUGACUUAACCUGUAAGAUUUUCCCGCUGAAAAAAUGAGAAACACUUCUUCAGGAAAACGAAGAAGAAAAAUUCCUUGGGGUUAGAACAGUAUAAAAUGGGGGAGAGGUGUGUGAAUCUAGUUUCUUUCCUACAUUACCAAGUAUUCUAAAGGCUCUUUGAAGAUAUUUGGCACUGAGAAAGGGACAAAGUGAUGCAGUAUAUUCAUUAUUUCUUCUAAGCUAGUUAGUGAAGUCAAGAAUACGUUUUACACAACCCAGCCCUACAUGUGGCUACUGAAAUAAAUGCUACUAGCACUGCACAUGUGAAGUGAUGAUAUACUGUGCUGCAAUGCCCAGACAAAAACACGGUAUUUACAUUUAUGUGUUCUGCCUUUCCAUCAAGAAAACUGGAAAAUUGCAGAAUUUGAGUACUCUGCUGCCUACCAGGAAUAAACUGUGCCUGAGGAGGAGUGUGGACUCAGCAUCGCCCAGCAGGGCCAGCAGCAUCCCUUCCUCCUGCCCACACAAACACCUCCUGAGCAAAAAGUACACUGUCGCUGAGCACUCACAGUGUCUCUUCUAGGUUUCAUCUUCAAUUUCUUUAUUUGGGGACUGUGUGGGGAUGUGAUUUGAAUAUUGGAGUGUGCAUGCCUUUAAUCUAACUAAAAAUACUGGGCAGAUCUUUUAAUUUGAUUAAAAGCCUGAAGUAUGGUCCUAAAAGCAGUUAACAUUCUGAGUGAGGUCCACUAUAACAAAGUCAUUCAAAUCUGUGAAAAAUCUGUGUCACAUUUUUAGACACACAUACUGAAUUCUUAAGUUAAAAACACGCUCAUUGCACCAGCAGAGUGCAACUCACCCUUAUGCCAAAAUAUGUUCCUUUUGCUAGGUACCGUGCAGUUAUCAGCAUGUCCCUCCCAUUUAUGACUUAAUGACAUUCGUUUAUCAACAGGUGGUGGCAUAUCUUGCAAUUACAUUUUAAGCAACAUUAAACGCAACCAAAAAUAAGGUAAAUAAAAGAAAAUCAGUUGCUCUUUGAAAGUGUUUUUAGAGAGAAGCUGUACUUAGAAGCUAGGUCUUCAAGUAGCUCACACCAGGCCCAGCAACACAGAAGAAUACUGCAAGAGCAAUAAGGAUUUUUAGGGGCAUUAUGAUAGUGUAAUGGAAACACAUCUGCCCCCAAAAGUCCCUCAUUUUCCCUGCGGUAAAGAGCCAUGCAGGAAGUGGUGAAUUCUGUGGAACAUUGAGAAUGAAACUAUAAAGCAAUUUUUUUUUUUUGUUAAAACACUUUUCCAACAAUACUUCAGGAUUUCAGCAUUUCCUGAGCCCAGUCCAUAGGAAAACAGUAGUUUUCCAAACAAUCGCUAGCUCACACACCUGGGCUGCAUUAAUCGGUUCUGUCCAUCCACCAAAGUGAAUUCUGACAAAGUUCCCUUGAAAACACUGUUAGUACUGGAAAGCUAGGAGGAGGAACUACACAGAAUUGUAGGGCAAUUUUUGUUCUUUCACCUAUCCAGGAUUUCAAAACAAAGCAGAAUGAUCAACAGGAAUAGUUGACCUGCAUCUCUGUUUUCUAAGGAUUUGCUUCAAGUGACGGUGCAAAGUUAGGUUUGUAGGAAAAGGGAGUACAUAAUAAAGUCAUACAACUGUUACGUUUUGUUUUACAGCAUUUCAAUAUAUUUUAUGUGUAGUCAUGUGAGCAAUUUCCCAUACAUAGAGAAAGUCUGCUCAGAGUACAAACAAAUAGAGGAAUCCCCCUUUGGUUAAGACUGCAUAUUGCAUAUUUACAAAUCUCCAUAGCAAAGCAGCACACUGGAACUGUUAUGCCUAUUCAAAUCAACAAGCCUAAUGAAAAGUCUCUUUUAAAGUAAUUAACUACUACCACUACUACACACUAACUACCACUUAGUGGGCAUAUUCUUCAAUGGAUCUGUGGAGCAUAAUAUAUAGAAUACAAUAUUGUUGGGGAAAACAAACAAACAAACAAACAAAAAAAAAACAGUAACCAAUUGCUUAUAUGUUAUUUAAUAUGCCAUGCUAUGUAAUCCAUUCGGUCUUUGUUCCUGUACCCAUGUUCCAGAAACAUUACUGUGAUCUUGCCUGAAUUUGGUGUUGAUGCAGCUCCGGUGGCUUCCAGCAGCACCCAUGUGCCAGCUGCCAGGCCUUGCCUGCUUUCAAGGAGGCCUUUUGUUGCAAAAGAAAACUUUUAUAUGGACAGCAGCAACAACAAAGUAAAAACUUAGGUUCUGAUGACUCUACAGACUGAUGUUUCCAACAGAAUUUAUAGAUAACAAAUAGAAAUAUCCCAGCAGUAAAAUCACUGCAUUCUAUUACUGAUCCCGGAACAUCCUGCAGUGCCUUUUCUCAGCCUUUCCAAAAAGCGUGUACACGUGUCCUGUCGUAGAUGACAGAACACAUUUUGUCUUUCUUUAUUUCUCCCGGCCUACAAAACUGUCACUUUCAGACAUGGAUCUCUUGCUCCUGCAUUAUGUCAGCUUGUAAGGAAAGGCCAUGAAUCUAUUAAAAUGAUUACCAGUAAAGAUGUGCACCCAGCAGCCACCGACAGGACCGGCCCGGCCCCACGGCAGAACUGCUGGCACACUCUGACAAAGGCAGAAAAGUCAAUUCUCUGUUCUUUUUUCAAUGCCUGUGCAUUUACCAAAUUCCCCAAAUGUUUGCAUCACUUGAGGAAAAAAGCAUAUUACCUUGCAAAGAGUUAUUUAGUUAUUUGCACUGAGAACAGGGCAAGCGGUGACUUAAACUCACUUAAAGUCCUCCAUUUCACCAGAAUGCUGUACUCUUAAGCUGCACGUUCUGAAGCAGCUUUAUACGUCGAAUAGAACCGCUUUUAUUCCACUUCUUCCACCACAGGUGCAGCUUCCACAUCAGAGCAGUUUUUCCUCUAAUAUUUUAAAAAAUGUUUUAAAUGUGACUGUUUUUUUUCUUUCAUAACCAGCAAAUACAAUUUUCAAGACAAAAAAAGGUGAUGAUACCUCUGUGAGAUGCAUGUGAACAGAUUUUCUUUCGGUGUGUGGAGCAGGCCUUGUGCAGGCGAGCAGUGCUGAUGCGUACAGUUAGAAUUGCGAGGGAAGAGCAAGCCAGCACAACACACCACGGCUGCCCGCAUUCCUGCCCUGGAAGAACUCCAGACAGCCUCACAGAGGGGGAUGACUGACCUCACAACCUGUACUACGGUACAGCUUGGAGCCAGGUCCCGAGUUCCCAAACUCUGGUCACUGCCACCCUCUCCUUCCCAAUGGCCGUAUUGGAGGGCAGUCACAAAACUCUUGUGGUAACUUGUGGUCAGGGCAUGUCAGAUGCUGAGGCCCUGCUUCAGAACUCAGGCCACAGAGCAAUCCUCAAGCCAUACCACCCGGUUCUGAUCUCGCUGCUUCCAGUAAUGUGUCCACAUAUUUCUAAAGUGAGCAGACAGACACCGGAUAACCCUCUCCUGCUUCACUGUGCAUAAGCUGUUUUUUAAAGCUUUGCUUCAAAAUGCUGAAAAGUCAUUCUAAAAAUGAAGUUUUAAUUUAUUUUACAUAGAAAACAACUAGUAGGGCUUUCAAUUUUAUAAAUGAUGAAUGUGAUAAAUAAUUGGAGUUGAUCUUUCUAAAUACUAUCUUUUCGAUACUUUGUGACACUUUUUAUCUCGAGAAAAAUGAAUUUUGAUUCCGAAUAUACUGCCUUCUUUUCAUCUUCCCUAAAUUCCGUCUUGCUUUUCAAACAAAUGGAUCCUGGCUGUCCCAUUGCUGAUGCUGGGCACUGCGGGACGCUCCAGGAGCAGUGGUGCUGGGGCCACCCCCACCAUGCACAGAAGCCCUGAGGAGAUCACCACAGCAAAGAUCACAUUUUUGCAGGAUAAAUGUUUAGGGUAUCAAUCAAGGCUUUUUCUAAUUGUGAUUAAUUUGGUUAACACGUAUAAGGUAAAUAUACAUUUAAAGCUUAACAGCUACAUGUGAUAUCCAUCACAGUAGAAACUGUCCAUUUUACUGCACACGAGAGAAACAGGGGCUCAUUAUGUAGGCUUAGUGAUGGGAAAGAAGGUGAUGAACAAUUUUGGGUGAGAAAAGCCUACAGAACUAUCGCUAUGAUCUUUAAGAGUGCUCAGUAGCCACUUAUGGUCACACACACUUUAUAACUGUGUUAAUUGCACUUGAAUGAGUACAUGUGCAUUUUCUUUAUCAUCAGUAGAGAACGAGAUAGAAUCUAUCUGGAAAAAAAAAUCAAAUCUAGCUGUUUAACAAAAUGUGAAGCACGCCUCACUGAAACAGUACAAAAAGACAUGCUUCAAUUGAAGAGCCUUGAGGAAAAAGUCCAUGAGCAGCAGAGCAGAGCUGAUCUCUUGUUUCCUUGAGAGGUUUCCUUGAGAGCCAGACCUUCCAAUCAGCCUGCUUUCCAGUACCUGAUUCUCUGCUCUUCUGUUCUUGGACUACUGGCAGUGAGUCCACAGGAGCCAAACAAACCUGAGUCUCACAACUUGUGACACUGGACACGUCUGCAGUGUACUCACAAACUAAGCACUAUAAAUCCAAAAUAAAAAUAAACCAACAGCUUAAUCAGUUCCUGAAAACUUAACCUUCUGAAAAACGCUGCUCUGGAACAGUGUUACUCCACGCAGGACAGGAGCUAAAAAGCAUACAAGUAGCACAAUGGUGACCUUAGCUCUCCCAAGUCAGAUUUCAGUCUUGAACAAGCGAGUAAUGUGUUGCACGGAGGUUUUGCUAUGUCCUAUUUCCUAUGUGUAGCCAUUAUAUAGCUAUACAAUGUGAAAGAGCAGAAUUCCAUGGAAAAAUAUCAGUAAUUCAGCACAGUAUCAAUUUGCUUCAACAUACAGAUCCUGCAUAUCAUCACCUGAUAUGUCCCAAACCAACACCUUAUUUUUUUAACCCUGCACUGCUGCGUAACUUCAGCUGAAUUGCCACGCUUGUCUGAAGUGCUCACAUGGACGCAGUUUGAGUAGGUCAGUGCUGGAAGUGCCUCUGCCUGCAAGCUUAGUGUGACAGCUGCAUCCAGGUGUCAGUCUGUAACUUCAGCAAAUAAUUAACUGCUACCGAAUGCCACAGCCACCACAGGCACACUUACAGUGACCAAGAGCGUGCUCCUGAAUCCCGUGUGCUGCAGACAUCGGCCGCCUCUCACACUGUACAAUUUAUAGUGUCCUUCAUUCUGUCAUCAAUAUACGUGUGCUACAGUUGGAGCCACAAUAAAGCUCAACUUAUCCACUAACAACCUUUAAACACCUACUAGAAUUUCAUUUAAAAGUCACCUACAAGUACAAAUUAUGCUUAGAUCCUUUAGGCUGCUGGUAUCAAAAUGUAAGCAGUAGCGUAGACUUGAAUAGCCUUACCAAGCUCAGACUUACUCGUCACAGCAUGCUAUAACAUCUUUUAUCAGUACACAAAUUAGUCAUCUUCACAUUGAUUUAAAGAUACAGACCAUGCACACGCACAUGCACACGCACACACACUGGGCACGCACUGAAGAAACAGGCUGUCUGGAGAGGGAGAGACGUGCAACUGACAUAGUUUGUCAGCAAAGGAACUGUGGAGGGGACAACAGAAAUGUUCCUUCAGGUUGGACCAUUUUCUGCGGGUUUAAGCUGUCUCUCUUUGCUAGAAAUAUCUUUUCUUUUCUCCCAGUUCACUUAUGCCAAACAACUACUCUUUGAAACAUCACUUUGUCUUCUGCUAGGUUUUUAUGGAGAAAAAAACAGAGACCUUUUAUAAGCUACAACAGUGCUUAGAAAGCCAUUUCAUGUUUAAUUUGGGGGAUGCUAGUGUUACCUGUCCACAUUUUACUGCUGAAGGUGACGUUAAAGUUGAAAUAUUGUUGCAUAUUUAAGUGUGCAGUAGCCCGUUACUGAGUGCAGCAGUAGCUUAGUGCUAAGUUUAGUGUCCAUUGUAAGACCAGAACGCAUUGGUUUCCUUUGCAGAACAAAGUGACCACCAAAAGCGGGACUUUGUGGGCCAGUUGGAUAAAACAUAAGCUCAUCUCGCCCCCAAAACCCCGACUCUGGAACCACAGCCUUCUGAGAUUCAAUUUGUAAGUCAAGUAUCUUUGUAAGAUACACCCAAUUAAUUGAGAGAAUCACUACUUAUAAGUAGCUAACCUGGGAACUGAUAAAUGAGACUUGUAUCCAAGUCACAACACACACUGCCUUUUCGGGACGGCAGGAAUUAAUUGCUAACAGAUACCUUGCGGUCUUACUCACACGUCAGGAUUGGUUUGUUUAGUUAAGCAGCACCUUCUGUAAGCGCCCAUAAAGUCACAUUGAACCCACCCAGAGCAGCAGAUUUACCAGACCCAGCAUCCAAAGUAUCUAUUCUUAUCUUUCCAAAGGAUCAGCUUGUGUGUCUGUUCUUCUGUAUCGCAGGCUAAAGCAGAACCGUUGCAGGAGGUGUCUGCCCUGACUCCUGCUGGGUUACAGCUGCGGCCCUCCAGAAGGGGCUUCACGCGACCCGAGCGCGGCCGUUCCCUGCUGACAGCGGCAGGUCGAGCGCUCCGCUGGGUAUCUGCAUCGCACAGCCCUCAGCACUGCGUUCCUCCACAACUUCUUUAAGGGAUGAGGAGAGCUCUGCAUACAAAGGGAACGUAUUUUCUGAAUCCUCCGUUUAUAAUUCCUACAGGUUUUCUAAAUAAAUACCGAGUUUAAAAGCAUUAUAGUUUACACUUGGCGGCCGAAGUAGGUAAAUGCUGUCAGUUACGUUAAAGAAACGAAUUACUGUGCUUGAAAAGCCACUACUACGUUUAUGCUACUUUUGGAAAUCCAAAUCUGGAGCCAAGGAAUGCUGUGCUAGCCGGACUGCAUGCUCAGCAAACACAUCUCGAGAGAAAAACGCGAAGUAGAUUGCAGACAUUCCGACUAAGCGGUACGGAUAAACGCGGGCCUGCAGCAACAGCAACGGACGGAUUCG
ensembl:lncRNA